ensembl:lncRNA
CAGCAUCAUAAACCAGACCUGCUGAGAUAACCUUCGGUGACAGCUAUUUUCAGAUUUCUUCUUAAAAACAAAACAAAACAAAAAACCAAUUUUCUUUUUGAUUUUGUGUAGGGAAGAAUUAGCAUGGGUGUGUGGGACUCCUUGCAUGAGACAUUAAUUCAGCUGCUUGAGAAAAUAAAAGGGUCUUUGGAAGGGAGGAUUCCUGGAGGUGAACGAUUCCCAGCUGUAAUCUACUGACGUAUACCUCCAUAUCAAACACCUACUCUGAAUACAGAGCCCGAUAUAUGAGAGAAAAGGACAAGAUUGCAGAUAAUGCAAGCCUUAAUGUCCUGGGAGGAUUGAAAAAAAAAAAAAUUGUGCAGUCGAGUCAGCUGAGCAAGCACUUCUUCUGAAACAAGAACAUGAAUGAAAUCUUAAUGCUGUGAAAAGACAAAGGUCACCUGGCAAAAGUGUAUUCUUCAACAAAAGCUUUCAUGGUGGAGCAGAAGAAUCUAUGGCACUGAUGAUUGAGAAGAAAUCAUUCUGUGCAAGCUGUCAUCAUUGCAUUCAUUGUGCUACUUCUUUGAUCAUCCUUUAGAAGUGAUCUUUGUAGGUUAUUUACAUUUCCUGUUGUCUUACGAAAUCAUGCUUUCACUGUAAAUUCUCUAAACUGAUAGUUUUGAACAUAUAGUAAAUGUUGGGUUCUGGACUCAGAACAGUUUUUCUAAAAAAGUCCAGUCCAGAACACUAAAUUCAGUUUGCAGCAAAUCAGGCGUAGAUCCAUUACUUCAUUCAAAUUAUAUUGUUACCUGAGUAAGAAAAAAAAUCUGCAAUUUAUAUUCAACUUUUGCUUACAGAAAUAUAUAUAUAUAUAUAUAUAUAUAUAUAUAUAUAUACACUUUUGUAUUUGAUAGCAAUGCUUGCAUUCUUUUUGGAAUUCUUGCUCCUGUUUUCAUCAGGUAGAAGCAAAGCUUAUAAAUACAGAUGGAAAAAAUACUUGUCAACUUCUCUGCAAGCAUAUUCCAUUUUUUCCCCCCACUGCUGUCUCUUGAAAGGGAAUUUCUCCUUUUCUGAUAUUAAUUUGAGUCAAAAUGAGAAGUUUUUUCCAUGUCUUGCUCCAUGAAGUUGUGGGAAAUCAGUAGCAUUUUGGAAGUGGUAUAAAGUAAUAUUGCAUAAGACUAAAGUCCCUUUUCAACAGAAUGUAUUAUCAGCAUAAACUUAGGAAGAUCUCUAGGAAACCACUGUGUACAGCGUUUACUUCUAAGUGAAGCUCAUUUCUUGAUGAAAUAGACUAAAUAGUCCAUCAAAAAUCUUUUACCAAAUGGAUGUUUUCCUUUUCUGAAAUAAUUCAUACUAGUAGUUCCUCGUUUUCAAAUUGAAUCAGGAAAGUUCCUGCGGAGAGGAAAAAGAAAAAAUGUUUAGUUGCACUUCAGAAUCCUGUGUUUAUUUGGGAAAUACUUCCUUUCUCACUCCUUCCACCCUUUUUCAACCAUUACAUUACAUGCAAGGCUAAAGUUGUACACUCAUUAGUUACCCACAAGACAUUUCCUUGGUAGUAGGUGUACCUGUGAAGGCACAAUUUCAGAGGAGUUUGUGCAAAGAUUUUCAUAGUUGUUGUGUAUCAAAGCCUUGAGUAUUUUGAGAUUGAGCUGUUUCAUGAAAUUUUGCUGAGAGAUCCUAGUCGUACCAGGGGGAAAAUUCAGAGCUGCCCAUAAGUGCAGAAUCAUAGAACGACCUGGGUUGAAAAGGACCAUAAUGAUCAUCGAGUUUCAACCCCCCUGCUAUCUGCAGGGUCGCCAACUACCAGACUAGGCUGACCAGAGCCACAUCCAGUCUGGCCUUGAAUGCCUCCAGGGAUGGGGCAUCCACAACCUCCUUGGGCAACCUGUUCCAGUUAAUAGUGAUGAUGACCUCAUCCAGACAAAGCACAGCCAUGUGGUUGUGCUGUUAUCUACACAGCUCACCCCUCUCCCCCAGCUGCUGUUGUGCAGCAGUUUCCCCUUUCCUCAGUGUCCUCUCCCAGAGCGCACCCAGUGCACCCAGUCCCUUCUGCAGUGGUUGGAGCUGCUCUGACCUGACAUGGGGCACUGCUGGGCUCUGCUUAUAGAGUGCACCCCUGCCUUCAGCCCCCCUCAACCAAAACCUUCAGUGUAAACCCAUAAAUAAAGCAGAAUAAAGACUGUGCUUCCACACCUAAGUAUUUAUGAAACUGCUGCAUAUUACCAAGAAAAAGCUGGAGUGUGUGUCUGUUUCAGGAAUCUGGUUUGAUUAUUUUUUACAUACAGUGGAUAGUGUAAUACAAUUCAAUUGGACACAAGAAAUUAAGAAAAGACAAACAGAGUAAUAGCGUGUGCUGGAAUUAUUUACAGAAAGGUAGAGAAAUCUGCUCCAGUGAAAAUCUUCUGUAGGCCUAAUUUGAUUAUUUGAGUUAAGAAAACAU